AUUGAACGCUGGCGGCAGGCCUAACACAUGCAAGUCGGACGGUAGCACGGAGAGCUUGCUCUCGGGUGACGAGUGGCGGACGGGUGAGUAAUGUCUGGGGAUCUGCCCGAUAGAGGGGGAUAACCACUGGAAACGGUGGCUAAUACCGCAUAACGUCGCAAGACCAAAGAGGGGGACCUUCGGGCCUCUCACUAUCGGAUGAACCCAGAUGGGAUUAGCUGGUAGGCGGGGUAAUGGCCCACCUAGGCGACGAUCCCUAGCUGGUCUGAGAGGAUGACCGGCCACACGGGAACUGAGACACGGGCCAGACUCCUACGGGAGGCAGCAGUGGGGAAGAUUGCACAAUGGGCGCAAGCCUGAUGCAGCCAUGCCGCGUGUAUGAAGAAGGCCUUCGGGUUGUAAAGUACUUUCAGCGGGGAGGAAGGCGAUGUGGUUAAUAACCGCGUCGAUUGACGUUACCCGCAGAAGAAGCACCGGCUAACUCCGUGCCAGCAGCCGCCGUAA
rnacentral:rRNA from 1 species